rnacentral:rRNA from 1 species
UACAGAGGUCUCAAGCGUUGUUCGGAAUCACUGGGCGUAAAGGGUGCGUAGGCGGCGGAGUAAGUCGGGUGUGAAAUUUGAGGGCUCAACCCUCAACGUGCACCUGAUACUGCUUUGCUAGAGGCCUGAAGAGGAGCUUGGAAUUCUUGGUGUAGCAGUGAAAUGCGUAGAUCUCAAGAAGAACGCUCGCAGCGAAAGCGAAGCUCUGGUCAGGAUCUGACGCUGAGGCACGAAGGCUAGGGGAGCAAACGGG